rnacentral:rRNA from 1 species
AUUGAACGCUGGCGGUAGGCCUAACACAUGCAAGUCGAACGGCAGCACAGUAAUAGCUUGCUCUUACGGGUGGCGAGUGGCGGACGGGUGAUGAAUACAUCGGAAUCUACUUUUUCGUGGGUGAUAACGUAGGGAAACUUACGCUAAUACCGCAUACGACCUACGGGUGAAAGCAUGGGAUCUUCGGACCUUGCGCGAUUGAAUGAGCCGAUGUCGGAUUAGCUAGUUGGCGGGGUAAAGGCCCACCAAGGCGACGAUCCGUAGCUGGUCUGAGAGGAUGAUCAGCCACACUGGAACUGAGACACGGUCCAGACUCCUACGGGAGGCAGCAGUGGGGAAUAUUGGACAAUGGGCGCAAGCCUGAUCCAGCCAUACCGCGUGGGUGAAGAAGGCCUUCGGGUUGUAAAGCCCUUUUGUUGGGAAAGAAAAGCAGCAGGUUAAUACCCCGCUGUUCUGACGGUACCAAAAGAAUAAGCACCGGCUAACUUCGUG